rnacentral:lncRNA from 1 species
CAACGGGAGUAGCUUCAACCAGUCAACCAACGAUGUCUUGGCUACAACACAAAAACAGUGAUUUUCGUUGUCGGAGUUGUUUCCUGAAAAUAGCUCUCUAACGAUCAAGUUAGAAGACUGAAAAAUGUAGAGAGAGAAUGUGUAUUGAGAUAGUAGAUUGCGCAUACCUUUGUGAUAACAGUAGUUCUCUUUAUAUAGCGUAGCUCGAUGCGUAACUCGACACGCCAACUGCUGUGUCAGUAGGUAGGUGGCUGACCUAAUCAUGCCUCUAUGGCUUAGUUGGUAGCACGUCUCUGUACCGUAGAUGUCGUGUUCUAGAUAUGGGGGCUGUCAGAGAUAGUUUCGCCAUGCAAGUAAUCCUGUGUCCCUUGACAUACCUCGGAAUCAUUGCUAACCGUUGUCUCUCGACCAACACUCAACGCAGUUGAUCCACCGAGCUUACUGUACAGUGACAACUCAGUUGUGACAUAGAUCCUUUAGCUUGGAUAAUGUCAAUGCUUGGUAGUGUUUCGACCGAGCUCAGGCGAGCGUCGUACCCCUACCUCGCUUCGUAAUGGUUACCCUGAGGUGGCUACUGCCUUGGUAUGAUCCGAGCUUGUAGCUGUCUAUUUUUUCCUCUUACAAUUUCCAAAUGAUUUUUGAAUUAAUCCCAAGGGGACGCUCAAACCUCUCUCUCACCCAAAACGACCUAUGCCUCUCUCCCUCUUUCUCAAAAUCUUGCAUCAAAAGCACAGAUUGUUCUUUACAUGCUGAAAUUUUACUUUAUUUUUUUUUGGGUUUCAAUGAUAGCAAGACAUUAGUCAUGGAACUUGGAAGGAACUAAAAAGAACAAAAUUGAAUAGUGUCCAUAUACAGUCUAGUUUUCUUUUCCCUUCUACUGACCUUGUGUUUUUAUUUUUUAGUUUCUGGUUCUUUUCCCCCUUCUAAAACUUGUUAUAAAGAUUUAUGUCCCUUCAUCUUCAUUUUAGUUCUUUUCUUGAUUUCUAAAACAGUUCAACCAACCAAAAGUCCUAUAGUAUGAAAUCAACCACCAAUCUCAGAUUUUGCACUAGUACAAACUAAGUAUCAGAAACAAACGUUUUAUGUACUGGUACUAAAAACUGAAGAAGCUAAUAGAAGUUUGUCCCACAUCAAAUGAGUAAUGAAACUGAAGCCAACCAACUUACUAUAGAAACUGACUUACGCCCCGAUUCAAAUCACUCAACUAUGUGGUGAGUACAAAGCAAACUAUUCUUUUGCCUUUCACUAAAGAAUACAUGUGCUUGCAGUAUAAAACCAAUAUUUGGAGGGGCCUUCCAAUUGUUGGUUGGUCCCUACAAAUACUAGCAUAAAAUUUUAAGUACUUCACCAAGUCCUAGCAUGUGCUUUCUUUUGGGGAAGCUGAUAAAUACACACUUGUGUAAAUUUCACACAACUAAGUGAAUCUUUAACUUUUCGUAUCUAAAUCCUAGGAUAGUUGCAGAAUAUACAUACUAACAUCUCCCAUCAAACUCAAUGGGGUAAGACACAUACCAACUUGAGUUUGGAAUCUUGAAAACAUUAGGCUUUGUUUGGAAUGAAAUGAAAAGGAAAUGAAAAUUGAAAGUUAGACAAUUCAACCGUUUAGGACCAUUGAAUCACUUACCUUUUUCUAUUUCUUCUCUUUUUUCCAAUUCUCGCUAAAUCCUUUAUCCAAACACAACGUUAGUGAUUGGACUCGGGGAUUCAUGGGGCUAAACGAAUUCCUAAGCCAGGAUAUUUUAUGAACCAAACUAUUCUUUAUAUAUUUUAUGAUAGUGUUAUCAUAAUAUUGUUGCUAUAUUCUUUAUGUCAUGAUUUUCAAAUUGAAGUGAUUUUGUAGAGUAUUAUAAGAUAUUAUUUUUCCUUAUUUGUCUUUAUUUCUACAUUUAAGCUUCUUAGUCACCACUCUAUUCCUAUGUGUGUGUGUGACAUACUUGUACAUGUAAAUCAAAAUACAAGUGUUCUUUUCUUUCUCUCUCUUGAGUUAUGCUAACAAGUAGUAUGAAUUUAUCAUCAAAUCUAAUCCCAUGGUUUCAAUUCAUUCUAUAUUUAUCAGUUCAUCCUGUAACUUCCUAGCAAUUUCCAACAGUUGCAGAUAAUUAACAAUCAUAGCAACGUUUGGACGAAUUUGGCAAAAUAUUUAAUAAAAUUUUCCAACCUUGUCCGAAUUAAAAAUCAUUGGAGCAGCUUUAUGGUUUGUGCAUUUAUGCAUUUCCAACACCCGUGAAGCACCACCAAUAAAAGAGAACACAAUAUCAGAACUAGAAAAGAACACAAUCGAUGGCUACUCACUAAAAUAAAGUUUUAUAUUAACUUAUUCAAGCAUUGGUUUUCAAGGACUUACUUAGGACUUAAGGUAGGUGUUGUUCUGCGGUCAGAAUUAUUCAUGUUGUAGGACAUGUCCAUUACAAUACCCUACGAAAAAUUUUGAGUUAAUCCGACAUCGGCAGCAGUCAUGAUCGGAUUGUAUUUAUAUUUCAAUUUAUUCUUAAAAUCAUAU